UACGUAGGGGGCAAGCGUUGUCCGGACUUAUUGGGCGUAAAGAGCGUGUAGGCGGCCAUACAGGUCAGCUGUGAAAACUCGAGGCUCAACCUCGAGACGUCGGUUGAAACCGUAUGGCUAGAGUCCGGAAGAGGAGAGUGGAAUUCCCGGUGUAGCGGUGAAAUGCGCAGAUAUCGGGGAAGAACACCCGUGGCGAAGGCGGCUCUCUGGGACGGUACUGACGCUGAGACGCGAAAGCGCGGGGGAGCGAACAGG
rnacentral:rRNA from 1 species